rnacentral:rRNA from 1 species
AGAGUUUGAUCCUGGCUCAGGAUGAACGCUAGCUACAGGCUUAACACAUGCAAGUCGAGGGGAAACGACAUCGAAAGCUUGCUUUUGAUGGGCGUCGACCGGCGCACGGGUGAGUAACGCGUACCCAACCUGCCCACCACUUGGGGAUAACCUUGCGAAAGUAAGACUAAUACCCAAUGACGUCUCUAGAAGACAUCUGAAAGAGAUUAAAGAUUUAUCGGUGAUGGAUGGGGAUGCGUCUGAUUAGCUUGGUUGGCGGGGUAACGGCCACAAGGCGACGAUCAGUAGGGGUUCUGAGAGGACGGUCCCCACAUUGGAACUGAGACACGGUCCAAACUCCGUACGGGAGGCA